AGCAGCCGCGGUAAUUCCAGCUCCAAUAGCGUAUAUUAAAGUUGUUGCAGUUAAAAAGCUCGUAGUUGAAUUUCGGGGUCAGCAGGUUGGUCGUGCCUCUGGUACGCACUGGUUUCGCUGAUUCCUUCUUUCUGAAGAACUGUAAUGUCAUUAAUUUGGUGUUGCAGGGAAACAGGACUGUUACUUUGAAAAAUUAGAGUGUUUAAAGCAAGCUAACGCUUGAAUACAUUAGCAUGGAAUAAUGAAAUAGGACGUUUGAUCCUAUUUUGUUGGUUUCUAGGAUUGACGUAAUGAUUAAUAGGGAUAGUUGGGGGCAUUAGUAUUCAAUUGUCAGAGGUGAAAUUCUUGGAUUUAUUGAAGACUAACUACUGCGAAAGCAUUUGCCAAGGAUGUUUUCAUUAAUCAAGAACGAAAGUUAGGGGAUCGAAGACGAUCAGAUACCGUCGUAGU
rnacentral:rRNA from 1 species